rnacentral:rRNA from 1 species
UACGUAGGGGGCAAGCGUUGUCCGGAAUUACUGGGCGUAAAGGGCGCGUAGGCGGUGCCUCAAGUCAGGUGUGAAAGCCCCGGGCUCAACCUGGGAACUGCAUUGGAUACUGGCGAUCUGGAGUGCGGUAGAGGGUGGCGGAAUUCCCGGUGUAGCAGUGAAAUGCGUAGAUAUCGGGAGGAACAUCCGUGGCGAAGGCGGCCACCUGGACCAGCACUGACACUGAGGCA